GACGAACGCUGGCGGCGUGCUUAACACAUGCAAGUGGAACGGAAAGGCCUUUUCGGAGGUACUCGAGUGGCGAACGGGUGAGUAACACGUGGGUGAUCUGCCCUGCACUCUGGGAUAAGCCUGGGAAACUGGGUCUAAUACCGGAUAGGACCGCACUUUAGUGUGUGUGGUGGAAAGUUGUUUCGGUGUAGGAUGAGCCCGCGGCCUAUCAGCUUGUUGGUGGGGUAAUGGCCUACCAAGGCGGCGACGGGUAGCCGGACUGAGAGGUUGGUCGGCCACAUUGGGACUGAGAUACGGCCCAGACUCCUACGGGAGGCAGCAGUGGGGAAUAUUGCACAGUGGGCGCAAGCCUGAUGCAGCGACGCCGCGUGGGGGAUGACGGCCUUCGGGUUGUAAACUCCUUUCGCCAGGGAUGAAGCGUUUUGUGACGGUACCUGGAGAAGAAGCACCGGCUAACUACGUG
rnacentral:rRNA from 1 species